rnacentral:rRNA from 1 species
AACGGAUUAGAUACCCUGGUAGUCCACGCCGUAACGAUGUCAACUAGCCGUUGGGCCUUUAAAAAGGCUUAGUGGCGCAGCUAACGCAAUAAGUUGACCGCCUGGGGAGUACGGCCGCAAGGUUAAAACUCAAAUGAAUUGACGGGGGCCCGCACAAGCGGAGGAACAUGUGGUUUAAUUCGAUGAUACGCGAGGAACCUUACCCGGGUUUAAAUGGGGAACGACAGGUGUGGAAACAUGCCCUUCUUCGGACGUUCUCCAAGGUGCUGCAUGGUUGUCGUCAGCUCGUGCCGUGAGGUGUCGGGUUAAGUCCCAUAACGAGCGCAACCCACGUCGUUAGUUGCCAUCAGGUAGUGCUGGGCACUCUAACGAGACUGCCGGUGUAAACCGCGAGGAAGGUGUGGACGACGUCAAAUCAGCACGGCCCUUACACCCGGGGCGACACACGUGUUACAAUGGCCGGUACAGAGGGCAGCCACCCCGCGAGGGGGCGCGAAUCUCCAAAGCCGGUCCCAGUUCGGAUCGGGGUCUGCAACCCGACCCCGUGAAGCUGGAUUCGCUAGUAAUCGCGCAUCAGCCAUGGCGCGGUGAAUACGUUCCCGGGCCUUGUACACACCGCCCUUCAAACCAUGGGAGCCUGGGGGACCUGAAGUCCGCGACCGCAAGGGGCGGCCUAGGGUAAAUCAGGUGACUGGGGUUAAGUCGUAACAAGGUAGCAUCUUUCUAG